rnacentral:lncRNA from 1 species
UUAGUUUGGAUAGUUUUAAGUCCGUAAUUGCUUAAAUUAUUCAAACACAAGUAACUCUUGGUGUAAAAACUAAGGAAAUUGCAUGAUCUAGCAAUAUCACCAUGCGUUUGGGUAGCUAGAAUUAGGUCUCUCUAUUUCUUAAUGCAAUUGACAGUUGUUAGAUACCAAAGGCCCAAGGACGUUCCUUGGCAACUUGUUGAUUAGUAAUUAAUUAGAGGACGUUCCCUAAUUGAUUUAUGCUUAAGGAGGGAUAUGGUGGUGAGAAGUGUCUUCCAUCUUCAUAACUAAUUUAUUGAAUCAAACAAAAAGGAACAUAAAUAUCAAUGAUCAGUCCCAACAACUGAAGUGGAUCCAAUUCUUCAACUAGAGCUUUUCUCAUUAUUGAAUCUCUUUAUUUUAUUAUUUGCUUUACUUUAUUGCUUUCAGUAUUAGUUUAAUUCAUCAAUAUCAAAACCCCCCCUUUUAUUUUACUUUCAGUUUGUUUACUUUCAGUUUAUUUUCUUGGUCUUAUUAAGGAAAAUAGGUAAGUAUCAAUUCCCUGUGGAUUCGAUCCUUUUGCCACUAUCUACAGUUGUAAAAUUGUUGAUAACCAAAAAGGUUAUUUUUGACCGGCUUCGACAACUGCACAGUAAAAAAUUGGCGCUGUUGCCGGAGAAUUGAUUUAACUAAUUUAUUUUUCUUUCAUGUCCAGAUCUGGACACAAAGAAACUCUGCCUUACAAUCUAGAAAUUGAGCGUACAAUCAAGCGAUUAAGGAAGUAAGUAACCCGACUUUGGGAGCAAGCCACCACCGAAUCUGCCAUAGAGAACCCUGCCAUCGCAGGAACUGAUUCAGAAUCUUCUAAACUUCACCAAAUAGCUGCAGAGAUGGCUGAAAACAAUGUACAACCUGCUGCCCAUGCUGAACCUGCUGUCCAUGAUGAAUUAAUACUAGAAAAUCCAGCAAUGAGGGCACCAAUGCCAAGAGAAAGAACACUGAGAGAGUUGGCAGCCCCUAUAGGUGAUCAAGCACCUCUCUGCAUCACCUAUCCACCAUUGACAGUCCCUUUUGAGCUGAAAACAGGUUUGAUACAUCUACUACCUAAAUUUAGAGGUUUGGAGAAUGAGAAUCCACAUAAGCACUUGAAAGAAUUUCACAGUGUAUGUUCAUCCAUGAGGCCGCAAGGCAUAACUGAAGAGCAUGUAAAACUGAGAGCAUUCCCAUUCUCACUUGAUGAUUAUGCCAAAGAUUAGUUAUUUUACCUACCACCCGGUUCAAUCACCGCAUGGGAUGGUAUGGUUAGAGCUUUUCUGAAUAAAUAUUUUCCAACUUCUAAAGCCAUAGGCAUAAGAAGAGAGAUAUGUGGCAUUACGUAAAAAGAAACUGAAGAUUUGUAUGAUUAUUGGGAAAGAUUUAAGAGAUUGUGUACAAGUUGUCCUCAACAUGACUUUUCAGAUAAAUCACUCAUAGAAUUCUUCUAUGGAGGCUUGCUACCAUCCGAAAGGAAAUUCAUUGAUAUAGCAUGUGGAGGUUCAAUUGAAGAUAGCACCCCUCAAGCAAUUAGAGAGUUGAUUUCAAGACUUGCAGUAGCAUCUAGACAAUAUGGAGAUGAAAAACAACUGCGAAGAGGAGUCCAUGAGGUAAGUACAUCUGUUCUAGCUUCUCAAAUUUCUGAACUAACCUCUGCUAUGAAAAGUCUUGUCAUAGGUCAAGCCCAACAAGCUUAAAAACUUCAGCAAGCUAGAUCAUGUGGGAUAUGUGCACAUGUAGGACACCCAACUGAUCAAUGUCCUACACUUCAUGAGGAUGACCAGCAAGUAAAUGCAAUUGGAGGAUUCAAUAGUUAGCCAAGACAUGAUCCCUACUCUAACACCUACAAUCCAGGUUGGAGGGACCAUUCGAACUUCAGCUAUGCAAGGGCUUACAACUACCAGAACUACCAAAGAAAUCCAGCACCUCCAAGUCCUAAUAUGCACCUUGAGGAGAUGAUGAAGACAUUGGCAAAUUCUGUUCAAAGCCUCCAACGGCAGAUGGGUCAAAUAGCCACCUUAGUGAGCAAGCUUGAAUCUUAAGGUAAGUUACCUUCCCAAACCAAAGCUAAUCCCAGGCAAAAUGUAAGUACUAUUAUGUUAAGAAGCGGGAAAGAGCUUCAGGAUGUCAAGGCUGAUGAUGGAAGUUCACAAGUGCAAAGACAAGCAGCUGAAGAAAAACAGCCAGAAGACUGUUUGUCCAAACCAACUGGUCAAACAGAACCAGUACACCAACAUAAUACAAAUUAGCAAGUAAGUUUCAAGAUUCCACCUCCCUUUCCAAAAAGGUUUGAAAAAUCACAAAAAGAAAAAGAAGAAAGAGAGAUCCUUGAAACCUUCAGAAAAGUGGAGAUCAACAUACCCUUGCUAGAUGCAGUGAAACAAAUUCCUAGGUAUGUAAAAUUUUUGAAAGAACUGUGCACUAAUCGAAGAAAGCUUGCUAAGAAAGAAAAGGUAAGUGUAGGUGAAGUUGUGACAGCUGUCAUAAAGAGAGAACUCCCAGCUAAGUGCAAAGAUAAAGGGAUGUUUGCUGUUUCUUGCAAAAUUGGCAAUGUGGGCAUCAAAAAGACCAUGUGUGACUUAGGUGCAUCAAUUAAUGUUAUGCCUCUUUCUAUUUAUAAUUUUUUGAAUGCAGGUACACUUAAAGACACUAGAAUAGUAAUUCAAUUGGCUGAUAGAUCUGUAGUGUAUCCAAAAGGAGUUCUGAAAGAUGUUCUAGUGCAAGUAGAUCAACUUGUCUUUCCAGCAGAUUUCUAUGUGAUUGAUAUGAAGGAAGACAAUAGCAACACUACUUCAGACAUCCUACUUGGACGACCUUUCUUGAGCACAGCCAGAACUAAGAUAGAUGUGCAUGGUGGCACAUUGACCAUAGAAUUUGAAGGGGAAGUAAAAAAAUUUAAUGUUUAUGAUGCUAUGAAAUAUCCCCAUGACAUGUCCCCUGUUUAUGGUCUAGAUAUCAUUGAUUGUUUGAGCCAAGAAGUUUUUGAUAUGAAUCAAGAUGAUAUGCUAAACAAUGACUUUUGCAGGGAGGCUAGCCAAAAAGAUGAAGAAGCCAAAAGGAGCCAAAACUGAUAGCAACAGUCUGCUGCAUUAAGCAGAUGGACUACGACCAAGCACAGACUGACCAUGCGCACAAGGAACAAGUGGAAGUCAAAUCGCCCAAAGCAAAGGAGCAUGCGGAACAAUGUCUGCCCAAGCCACCAGAUAAGGCAGAAUCUUGUCUGCCUAAACAGAAGCCCUUCAUGCGUCAACUUCCAAAAUCUGAAGAAAAUGAGAGUGAUUCCUAUGAACAAAUCUUUCAUGCCCAAACUGAUAAACCAUGGUAUGCAGACAAAAUAAAGAAGAGUGCAAAACACUGUGUUUGGGAUGAACCACACCUGAAACCAUACUAUGAAGGGUUCACAGUGCAAGUAGUAGAAGGAGUUCCACUAAAUCAUCCUCAUCAACUUGCUUAGUGGAUCGCACUACACAAACCACACUAAGGGAGUACUCAGUUUCCUUUGAACUUUAAUAUUUCCAAUAUAUUGAGGACAAUGCAUGAAUUAGGUAUGGGGGUGCAUAUCUCUGAAUUUACUUUUAAGUCUUCCAUUCCAUUUUUGCUUUAAUUUUUAGUUUGAAUUGCCACAAUUUGAAUUUUUUUUUUCAUUUUUUGUUAUUUUUGCUUUUAUUGCACACACAUGUAGUCACAGUUUUUUUAUUUAUUUUUGUUUUGGUUUUUUUUACUCAAACUCAUAGGCUAUAUUGAAUGAGCUUUCUUUUCAUGACCCCCUUGAUGUGAUGACUCUUUAAACCUAAAUUGAAUCAAUUGCAGUGAGUUGUAUUCAUUGUUGAAAAUUUUCUUUUGAAUUGAAUUUUUGAGCUUGCCAUGGUGAAAAAUAUAUGACAGUACUCAUUAGAGAGAAUAAUAAAAAAGAUGUGUGAAUAAUGAAACAUGGCUUAUUUUAACAAUUGGUGUUGAUUUGCCAAAUUCAUUGAGAAAGAAAUUCAGCAAAGGCAAAGACCUCAAAAGCACAAAUUGAAAAUUGUUCCAAUGGUCAAAAGACUAUGAAUAGAGCUAGUAGCUACUUGGACAGGUGACCAACUGAGUAACUGGGGGUGGGUAUCACAAAUAUGUACCUUCACGUCAAAAGGUUGGUGACUUUUUCAAGCAAGGAUAAAGUACAAAAAGCUGAAUAAAGUGCUUCAAGUUAAGGGCAAGUAAAUCCGAAAGCUAGAAAAAGUCUUAACUGAACAAGAAUAUGUGUAUAUAUAAUCUCUCUCUUGAGGAAAACAAAUACUAGCCAUGGUAGGUAAAGGGAGACAAGGAAAGAAGGAGAGUAACCUUGGUGCAUACACUCUUCACUACAAUACUUUAAAGUAGGGGUCUAGAGUAAGAGCUUAAGUGGAAAUAAAGGAUCAAGUAGCAAAGAGAGCUUGUUUGAUUAAGUUUAUUUGCUUGAGGACAAGCAAAAAGCUAGGUAUGGGGGUAUUUGAUCAGACUAAAUUUAGACCAUUUUAUUAUGAUGUUAUUAAUGUUAAUUUACACUUUUUCUGCCUAAUUUUGUGGUUUUGAUCUUAUUUUGCAGAAAAUGAUGUAAAUAGGUAAUUUGGUAAAAAUGCUCUUAAAACUGCCUAAAAUGGAACAAAGGAGAACAAGCAUGCCAAGUUGCAGCUGAAGAGGAGAUAAAUAAUGAAAGUACAUUCAACAGAGUAAUUUGAAAUUCAAAUUUCAAAUCUUCAAGAAGCUUAUUUCUUAUUGAGGAAGCCAAAUCUCAAGGAGAUGCAAUUGCCUCUCAAGCAUUCAAAAUUCAAAAUUCAAAAGAGAACAUUCAAAAUUUGAAAUUCAAAAGAAGGCUCCACUUCACAAGGAAACUUAGGGUAACACUUUCAGCCUAUAAAAGCUUCAAGUGCCGCACGCCUCAUCCUCUUCUCCCUUUUCCCAUUCAACCACACAAGUCUCUUCUCCUUCCAAGGCCGUCGGCCACCUUCUCCUUCUUCCUUUCUUUUAUUUUUUGGUUUUGUUUCAGCAAUGAAUGGCUAAAACCCCUUUUUUUCUAGUUGAAGAUUAGGUGAAACUUUGGUUGUUUUAUGGAUUGGGAGAUCUGAACAUACAUUGUUUAUCUUUUGUUUUUCAAUAUUUAUGCAAUUUUAUACUUAAUUCCAUUGUUGCUUUGUGGUUUAGAUCAAUAAGGCCAAUUGAUUCUUGAUUGCAAGGUAAUAAUUUGUUAGUUUGGAUAGUUUUAAGUCCGUAAUUGCUUGAAUUAUUCAAACACAAGUAACUCUUGGUGUAAAAACUAAGGAAAUUGUAUGAUCUAGCAAUAUUACCAUGCGUUUGGGUAGCUAGAAUUAGGUCUCUCUAUUUCUUAAUGCAAUUGACAGUUGUUAGAUGCCAAAGGCCCAAGGACGUUCCUUGGCAACUUGUUGAUUAGUAAUUAAUUAGAGGACGUUCCCUAAUUGAUUUAUGCUUAAGGAGGGAUAUGGUGGUGAGAAGCGUCUUCCAUC